CCUGCCCCUAGAGGCAUGCUAGGUGUGAUUGUGGUGUCAUACAUGUGUCAGUAGAUGGCAGAGAGGAGACAGGUUGUGUUUUGCCCAGCAUUCUGAUCUGUGGACAUCUCAAUGAUUAGUAGUAGCCCAACAGU
ensembl:snoRNA Gm24469 small nucleolar RNA SNORA17